rnacentral:rRNA from 1 species
UACGGAGGGUGCAAGCGUUGUUCGGAUUUACUGGGCGUAAAGAGCUCGUAGGCGGUCUGUUGCGUCCGCUGUGAAAACUCGGGGCUUAACCCCGAGCCUGCAGUGGAUACGGGCAGACUAGAGGUAGGUAGGGGAGAAUGGAAUUCCCGGUGUAGCGGUGAAAUGCGCAGAUAUCGGGAGGAACACCGGUGGCGAAGGCGGUUCUCUGGGCCUUACCUGACGCUGAGGAGCGAAAGCGUGGGGAGCGAACAGG